CCUCCGGUACUAUACCCCUGAGGAUGGUUCUGCUCUCCCUACCUGGCUACCCUGUUGGCUGAGAUGCUAUUGAGGAACAAAGAGCCUCAGUGUUGGUGAAAGUGCUACAUAAAACUGCACUCAGAAGACUGCUUUUGUGGACCACCAGGAAUUUCCUGUGAUAGAAUAUCAGAAAGCUACUGGUGACUCGGAGGAGGUGACUUCACAGGGCAAAAGUUCCCUUUCUAUAAUAAACAUUCUCAGUGUGGCCAUGUAGGAGACUUCCUACACAGACCCCACACCUAUGAGCCACUUGUCAUCUUGACA